GGAGCUUAACCAGGUAGCGGCGCCGCAAGCUCCCUUGAAACUUGAACCGAGUCAAACCUGUUGAUUAGGUUUUUGGUGUUAGUUCUUUGCCUCCUCGUUGGGUGUCUAGUCAAGCCGAGCUAAUUCUCUUGCCUGAGAUUGACGACUUUUUCAAAGCGAUCAUCGUAGAGGUAGUCUCUCUGUGAGAGGAGGGAAGAGGAAGACAAGCAUAUGAAGCCAGCAGCCCCAGCAGCCAGGAGCCAGCAGCCAGCGCACAAUGAUGGCUCUUGUCAUGGGUUUCUGGCUCGCUUGACCACACCUGGGAAGGAAAGGGCCUGCAGCCCUGGUUUAUAAUGCUGAUGAUUAACUAAAUAGAGGCUGCUGCAGAGAGCAGGUCUGCUUGGCUUUCUCAUUUCAUGGGGCCUGACUGACUGACCGGGAAGAAGCUGAAGUGUUUACAGGCUCUGGUUUCUGGAAAUUCAAGAUAUUUUCUCCCCCCUCCCCCCACCUUUAAUCACUUUGUUUUGUUACAUUCUUUCCUUUUGGGUUCCUUUUCACAACGGUAAGGUUACAGGUGCAUUCUCCAUUUUCAUUCUCCACCUCCCUUUGCUGCCUGUGCUUUUCCCUCCCUUAUGCUCUGUCUUUCUCUCUCCUCUCUCCUGCUCUCUCACUCUCUCUCAUUCACUAAAGCUCUUCCAUUUAGCUCACUGGCAGGAUGACUGGAAGUCACUUUAUUCUUUCCCUCUGGACACAAGAUUGUCUUGAUUCUAUUUUUGUUUCAGGUUUACAGAAAAUGAUUCCUGUUUAAAAUAUAUUAAAAUAGUUCAUUGGUAUAAGUAUUGCUGACUUAAUGUACCAAGUCUCAAAAAUAUUCUAACAGCAUUUUUUUUUUUACAACGCAAGUAGUUUGUAGGCACUUUUCAUUGUCGACUAAAUGUAUACAUAUUUCAAUUUUAAUUCAGACUUGUGUCACUAUUAUUUUAAGUGGCAAUGUAAAUAGAAUGACUAAUUAAGGAAUACUGUAACAUACUAUAUUUGAGUCUUUAUCUUACAUAAAUAGAAAUAAUGAGCAUGCAGCAUUACGUAAUAUGGGAUUCUAAUGAGUGUGAUAUUUUCACACUGUGUACAGUACCUGUGAAUCGCCCAUGUUAUUCAGUAAACGAAGGCUGUCUCAAUGACCUUCUGCACACACUGCAUAGGAACAGUUCAGGUCAGUCCAGCAUUCCUCCAGGCUUUCAUCACAUUACAAACACAAAUAAAUGAGGAACAGGAAAAAGCAAGGCAUUCAUUUCCCCCUUUGUUUUCAACAUUUCAUCAAAUUACUGUUGAAAUUAAAAUUAGCAGAGUUUGGUGCCAAAGCAGCAUGUUGCAACAACGUGCUAAUUGUGCUAACAUCUUCAGAGACAUGCGAUGUGAAUAAGGAACAACUACCCCCAAAGCCUUGUUACUUCAGUUUUGAUUAUGAAAAAUGCAGUGGGGUUAGUCUAGAAUGGAUGUUCGGAAUGAGGGAAAAGUUGCAUCCAUUUUAAGAAAAGCAGCCCUCUCAGCCUUGCUGUGCCAUAGAACCAGACCAGUCAGAACAGGUUUGGGCAAUCAUUAACAGCCACUGUGGCCCACUCUCCUGUAACUGCCAGCCUAAGCUACAGCCCCUACUAGAACAAAGACCCUGUCUGCCGUACAACAAGCUGUAUUUUUUGUUUUGAGCCAAGUUUCAAAUACGUGGUUUCCCCGACUUCAUCUCUUGUUCAGGUCCUGAGGGUUAAUUGAUAUAUCGACACUUAUCACUGCUAGUUUGAGUUUGAGGUAGUGAAGUCCACCCAAAGCCAAAAUGUGUUGAGUUAACUGAAGUGGGGUUGUAAUGGAUAUUGAUGACGAGUUGUAUGUGUGCCUGGGUAGGGGGGUAUACUUGAUUUUGUAUAAGUUUCUCCUUCUUUCUGGUAAAUAUAAAUGUAGUUUCAGAGAUGUGAUAGACUGGCCUUCUAAUGAUCAUUUGCAUCCACAGUUAGGGUUGUCAACAGUUUAGAACACCCCUCUCUUUUCAGAGUGGAAUGUCCCUGAAGCCACCAUUAUACCCAUAGGCGGGGCUUAUCCACACACAAACCUACCAAAGGAUGGUUAGCCUUUAUCAAGUUUUGUGAGUCAAAAUCAGGAGAUAUCACAACACUAAUAUAUACAAGAGAAACAUGUAUUGGAAAAUGCUCAGAGGAAAAUAUUAUUAAUGCGAUCUGUAAAAUAAUAACUUUUAUGACCCAUUGUUUGUCUCCUAUUCAUGUUUGGAUGGUCAUCCCCAUCUUACGAGGCAGCAUUGGAUAUAAUCACUCUCUCUAAUACUGCCUGGUAAUGAUGAUGAUAGCCAUCUGCUAACUACAGUGAGACGCCACACAACUUACGAUAUUAGCUAGCUACAUUAACACACUUUACCUCAACUUGGAGGCUGUUUUGUUUCAAAUUAAAUGGCUUGGUUCCCACUGAAAUGGCUUUCAGGAUCCAUCUUACCUGACAGUGCUGGAUUGUACAACUGUGUUCUAACACUGUCUGGUAACGAUGUUUCCUGGGUGACUCACAUACCUCCAGAGAUACUCGUCAGCUAUGGGCAGACUUAGAGGGUCAGGUGUGACCCCUUGAAUGAAAACCUACCAUAGGCAAUACCUGAUCAGAUUAUCUGUGGUAACUGUACUGUGGUAAUGGUAACACUUGACUCCAGUUUGAAUACACAGUUUGAACACUCCAUCUUUCUUCAAGGAUUUGAUGUCCGAUAACGUCACCGAUAAGAAGACUUGGUUGAGCGUCGCAUCUGUAAUUUUGGUUAGAAUUUUGCUAGCAUGCAGAGGUGGGCUGGCUAUACCAGGAAACUGGGAAGAGAAUGUUAUUGUGUUUCCCCUCUUUUGUGUUGACUUGAUUCUACAUGGGCGAUUGUCCAUGGAGAUUGUCCUAAAUCUUCCGUUUGGCACAUCUUUAUUACACUAGCUAAAACUACACAUCUGAAAAAUGAUCCGUUUCAACAUCAUCAUUUAUUUGUCAAAAAGAUAGGCAUAUGAAGUGCUUAUUUUGAGAAUCAUAUUGGAAAAAUUUAUGGCAGAUAUGACUGGGGUGCUUUGUCAAUCAAAGUAGUUGAAAUAUCUUAGUGUUACUCAGUUAGGAAUCAAUUUAAGCAAGUGGAGUAGAUUAGUGGCACGAACAGAUUGCGAGAACCGAGAGGACAAGUAGAGGAGACAGUUAGGGGCGCUAGCUCACCCAGUCUUUGUAUUAUCCACUUCCCUGUCCUGUUUUAUAGUGGCCCCACCCAGCCUGAGUUAAAGAAUACCAGUCGGUUGAUGGUUCCACCGGUCGUACUACUCAUUUCCGUGUCCCCUCCCCCCUGCAGCGUAUGGCUUUGUGUUGUGUCACUGUGAUUGGUUCAGCUCGCCUUACCUGCGUGUUACAUCCUGAAACUGACACGAGCUCACCUGAGCACUUACGAAAGAAAGAAACUCAACAACAUCCUCCUUGACUCCCCCCAGCCUCCCCUCUCUCUCUCUCCCUUCAUAUGAAUGAUUGCUCUUUUUUUAAUCACAGCUAAGUAUAUCCCAUAACUCUAUCUGUAGUGUCUUUUGUCAUUUUACUAGGCUUUAUUGGAGAACAAAAGUGUUUUGCCUUGCAUCUUUUUGGUUACAAUUAGAAUGUUUUUAUUGUGUUUCCUUUUUGUCAUAAGCAACUGAUAAACAGCCAUAGACUUGAACGAAUUGAUCCCUUAAGGAAAACUUCCAUCUCGUUCCAUGUCUCCCAUUUGUCAUGGUCUUCCAUGAAGAAAAAUAAAUCCCAAUUAAGUAGGUAAAGCUCUCAAACAGGCAGCACAGACAUAGGAAAAUAAUAAACAAGGAGCCGGCACAGUCUGAAUGUUUGUUUAAGGAGGGAGAAUUACCCCACAAAUAUUGAACCACACCUUUAUUGGCUCACCUCAUGUCGUUUGCCUUUAUCUAUGACAUAGACACACGGAAUGGUUCAAUGUUUGUCAUAUUUUUUCUUUCCCUUUUUUAUCCCCUCUCCUUUUCACACGGUUAAAAAGACCAUUUAGAUGUUGCACUGAACCUUAAAGUGGCAUGAGGAUUUCAUUUGUGGUGAAAAGGCACCACAUUUUCCCACUUAAGCUGUUUUUCUAUAUCUUUGACGUGACCAGUCAAUCAUCAAUAUGUCUUUUGUCUUCAUUGUAAAUUAACUCCAAAUAACAUAGUCUUUGAGAAUACGAAAAAGACAAACUAGUAUCCAUGUCUGUGUGUGAGACAGACGGACGGACAGACAGACUGACAUACUGUAUAUUUUUCAGCCUGUCUCUUCUUGCAUCUCAUCCUGCCUUUUUCCAGCUGGCUCCCUUUGCGUACAGGGGACGGUUGGUUCAGAGAGUCCUUCAGUCCUAGCUCCAUGGCCUGUUGAUUGGCGUCUUACCAGACAUGGUUAGAUCUAUUCAUCCCUGUCUAAUACUGUCUGGUAAUGCCGUCCAUUGAAUGGCAUUACCUUCUUUUUUCCCUCUCUCCUUCUUGCACAGAAGUUUGAGCUCUUAGGUCUACACUAUGUGUAUACACUGUGUUUGUGUGUGUAUAUGACCAGAACAUGGACACAAUGGUUGAAAUGACAGAUGGGUUGAGAUAUGGUGUUUAUGGUGAUAAAGACAAUAACUAUAAAGGAACUUUGCACUGGAAGAUUGAUUAAGUUGCCAGUGAUUUUCCAUGUGCCAAGCUUGUGUCAGAGUUUCUUCCUUGAGCAGCGGCCCAGGAUGUCUAAAAGAAAGCUAUACAGCAUUUUGGGAUAUUUGUGAUGCCAGAAGUAAUUUAAAUGCUUAAAGGUGCAUUCAAAUCUUCUCUCUCUCUCUCUCUCUCUCUCUCUCUCUCUCUCUCUCUCUCUCUCUCUCUCUCUCUCUCUCUCUCUCUCUCAAUUAUUUUAUAUCUAUAUGGAUGUAAUAUUAUGUUCAUGUAAAUAAAGUAUUUAGAAGAACAUUUAAUUUGGUAUUAUCUUACUUAAUAAAAUAAAGAUUUGCGUAUUCGCUCAAUGUUCCUCAGGGUUCUCAUGGUUACUAAAUUCUACAUGGGAAACUUGCCCAGAGUUUGGCAUUUCUCCAGGUACAGUAAAACUUGUAACAACCAAGCUGUAGAUAACCAUAUAUGUUUGGCAAUAAAAAUAUGACAUGAAAAUGUAAAAUAAACCUGAAAGAAAAAUCA